UAAUCAUUAUUGCCGAAUUUCUUGAUACUGAAAACGGGGGAACCAUUUUUGGGUGAAAUAUUCUCAUUGAAGAAUAGAGGGAACCUUCUACCGAACCCUUAGCUAACUCCGUAGGCAUCGGAAGGAGAACUA
rnacentral:sRNA from 1 species